AAAAAUGUUUAAUAGCCGCGGUAUGUUGUCCGAGCAAAGGUAGCAUAAUCAUUAGUUUUUUAAUUGGAAACUAGAAUGAAUGGUUGAACAAGGAAAGUACUGUCUUUUUUAUUAAAAUUGAAAUUAACUUCCAAGUGAAAAGGCUUGGAUUAACUAAGGGGACGAUAAGACCCUAUAAAACUUUAUAAGUUUAAAGAUCUCUACUAUUUUUUUUAUAAAGUUUUUUUUGAUAGCUUAUUUGGUUGGGGCGACAAAGGUAUAAUUAUGAAUAACUGCCAUUAAAAUUAAUACAUUUAUUGAUGAUUGUUGAUAAAUAGUUGAUCCUUUUUAAAGAUUAAAAGAUCAAGUUACUUUAGGGAUAACAGCGUAAUUUCUUCUGAGAGUCCUUAUCAAAGAGGAAGUUUGCGACCUCGAUGUUGAAUUAAAAGUUCUUUAUAGUGCAGCAGCUAUAGAAGAAGGUCUGUUCGACCUUUAAUUUUUU
rnacentral:rRNA from 1 species